ACUCAAAUGAAUUGACGGGGACCCGCACAAGCGGUGGAUGAUGUGGUUUAAUUCGAUGCAACGCGAAAAACCUUACCUACCCUUGACAUGUCUGGAAUCCCGCAGAGAUGUGGGAGUGCCCGAAAGGGAGCCAGAACACAGGUGCUGCAUGGCUGUCGUCAGCUCGUGUCGUGAGAUGUUGGGUUAAGUCCCGCAACGAGCGCAACCCUUGUCAUUAGUUGCUACGAAAGGGCACUCUAAUGAGACUGCCGGUGACAAACCGGAGGAAGGUGGGGAUGACGUCAAGUCCUCAUGGCCCUUAUGGGUAGGGCUACACACGUCAUACAAUGGCUGGUACAGAGGGUUGCCAACCCGCGAGGGGGAGCUAAUCCCAUAAAACCAGUCGUAGUCCGGAUCGUAGUCUGCAACUCGACUGCGUGAAGUCGGAAUCGCUAGUAAUCGCGGAUCAGCAUGUCGCGGUGAAUACGUUCCCGGGUCUUGUACACACCGCCCGU
rnacentral:rRNA from 1 species